UCCGUCCCAGGACCCCACGAUGACACCUUGAGCUCAAGACAGACUGAGCCACCCAGGUAGUGUUGUGUAAUGGGAUAUUAAGUUGAAAAGAUCAGUGGAGGCACAAAGAGAUGUUAAAUACCAGAUGCCAGUGUGAACUGUAAAUCAUACCACCAGAAGUUUUAAAAUUUGGCAGGAAGUUUGGGAAACCAAACUGAGAAAGUAAAUAAGAAUGAGGAUGGAUACACAGCCAGGUCACACCCAAAAGUAAGUGACAGAACUGGUCAAGCGAUGACACUGCCAACUCCACCAAUCACCAGGAUCCACGACUUGUACUCCUUACAUUGACAGAACUGGACCAAGGAUUCUAACAUUGAUAUAAAUGCUGUUGAUAUAUCUUUGAGCUCUCAAAACUGGAUGUCAGUACAGCCAUUGUCACCAUAAUGGGAAUAAAUCCUUUUCUUUCCAUGCUUCUUUGAAUCACCAGCUCCUCAUCUGACCUUGGAAGCAGGUGCAUCUAAUUUGCUAAACCUAGCCCAUGCAUCUGCAUUCUAACUAAACAGAAAGCUGUGAACAAAUACCUACUUUUAGCCACCCACAAUGGGAGAUGGGCUCUAUCCUUCACUAUAAUUCAUACUAGAUAAGGAAUUGGUCCAUCGGCAGCACAGCCAAAAAGACUUUGACAAAUGUUUUCUUUAUAUAUGGAGUGUAUGCAAAUGAAUAACAGGGUCUUCAAUGAAUAUGGAAAGUUGGGGAAAUUUUUGAAGAAUACAUAACUUAAGCAGAGACCCAAAGGAUGAAUAAAAUCUAGCCUGAUUGAAGGCAGGAAGAGGAAGGAGGUGUCAUGAACAAAGGGGAGAACAUAUGUGAAGAUUUGUCUGUAAGAAGGAGCUUGGUGUUAAGAACUGAGUGAAAUCCAUUUACUUUGAAAUGAAACCAGGGAGUUGGGUGAAGUUUUGGUUCUCUAGGGCCUUCUAGGUCAUGCUUAAGACUAUGAAAUUUAUCCUAAGAAACCUAUAAAAACAGUGCAAGGUUAGAGGGGAGUAAACUUUUAAAGUACAAGCUUUAAAGAUAUAACUUGGGGCUCUAGGUAAAAAAAAUUAAUUUGCACUCAAAAUGUUGAAACCAUCCAACAGUGAAUGGGAAAGCAGUGUGGUAAAGGGGUAAUGUUAGAAACUUUGGAGUAAACAGACUUGCUUAUCUUGAACAAAUUACUUAAACCCCCUGAGACUCAUUCCUCACUUCCCAAAAUGGAUUUAUUUUCCUUUAUUUAUCUACCUUCAGGUUACUGUGAAGUGAAAUUAAAUAGAAGCUGUAAUUUUUAUUGUAAAAUGCUCUCAAAUAUAAAAUAUGUAAUAAGUAUUUAGUGAGUGCUCACUUAUUCUGCUAAGCAUGGAAGAAGGUGUACAAGUUUAUGAAACC